GACGAACUUUGGCGGCGUGCUUAACACAUGCAAGUCGAACGGAAAGGCCCUGCUUUUGUGGGGUGCUCGAGUGGCGAACGGGUGAGUAACACGUGAGUAACCUGCCCUUGACUUUGGGAUAACUUCAGGAAACUGGGGCUAAUACCGGAUAGGAGCUCCUGCUGCAUGGUGGGGGUUGGAAAGUUUCGGCGGUUGGGGAUGGACUCGCGGCUUAUCAGCUUGUUGGUGGGGUAGUGGCUUACCAAGGCUUUGACGGGUAGCCGGCCUGAGAGGGUGACCGGCCACAUUGGGACUGAGAUACGGCCCAGACUCCUACGGGAGGCAGCAGUGGGGAAUAUUGCACGAUGGGCGGAAGCCUGAUGCAGCAACGCCGCGUGCGGGAUGACGGCCUUCGGGUUGUAAACCGCUUUCGCCUGUGACGAAGCGUGAGUGACGGUAAUGGGUAAAGAAGCACCGGCUAACUACGUGCCAGCAGCCGCGGUGAUACGUAGGGUGCGAGCGUUGUCCGGAUUUAUUGGGCGUAAAGGGCUCGUAGGUGGUUGAUCGCGUCGGAAGUGUAAUCUUGGGGCUUAACCCUGAGCGUGCUUUCGAUACGGGUUGACUUGAGGAAGGUAGGGGAGAAUGGAAUUCCUGGUGGAGCGGUGGAAUGCGCAGAUAUCAGGAGGAACACCAGUGGCGAAGGCGGUUCUCUGGGCCUUUCCUGACGCUGAGGAGCGAAAGCGUGGGGAGCGAACAGGCUUAGAUACCCUGGUAGUCCACGCUGUAAACGGUGGGUACUAGGUGUGGGGUCCAUUCCACGGGUUCCGUGCCGUAGCUAACGCUUUAAGUACCCCGCCUGGGGAGUACGGCCGCAAGGCUAAAACUCAAAGGAAUUGACGGGGCCCCGCACAAGCGGCGGAGCAUGCGGAUUAAUUCGAUGCAACGCGUAGAACCUUACCUGGGUUUGACAUGGAUCGGGAGUGCUCAGAGAUGGGUGUGCCUCUUUUGGGGUCGGUUCACAGGUGGUGCAUGCCUGUCGUCAGCUCGUGUCGUGAGAUGUUGGGUUAAGUCCCGCAACGAGCGCAACCCUUGUUCACUGUUGCCAGCACGUUAUGGUGGGGACUCAGUGGAGACCGCCGGGGUCAACUCGGAGGAAGGUGGGGAUGACGUCAAGUCCUCAUGCCCCUUAUGUCCAGGGCUUCACGCAUGCUACAAUGGCUGGUACAGAGAGUGGCGAGCCUGUGAGGGUGAGCGAAUCUCGGAAAGCCGGUCUCAGUUCGGAUUGGGGUCUGCAACUCGACCUCAUGAAGUCGGAGUCGCUAGUAAUCGCAAAUCAGCAACGCUGCGGUGAAUACGUUCCCGGGGCU
rnacentral:rRNA from 1 species